GCCCAGUCCAACUAGCCACAAUGACUACAUAUCCUCCGAAGAUGGUAGAGUCUGAGACUCUUAAUCUCAGGAGUCGUGGGUUUGAAUCCCGUAUUGGGCA